AGCUUUGCGCAGUGGCAGUAUCGUAGCCAAUGAGAUUUAUCCGAGGCGCGGUUAUUGCUAAUUGAAAAAAAAAGUGUUCUUCAUAAAACUUGAAAUAAUUCUUAAAAUAUGAAGACUGAUAUAAAAAUUAUUCAUAAUCCCAUCACUAGG
rnacentral:snRNA from 1 species